GAUGAACGCUGGCGGCGUGCCUAAUACAUGCAAGUCGAGCGAACAGACGAUGAGCUUGCUCCUCUGACGUUAGCGGCGGACGGGUGGGUAACACGUGGAUAACCUACCUAUAAGACUGGGAUAACUUCGGGAAACCGGAUCUAAUACCGGAUAAUAUAUUGAACCGCAUGGUUCAAUAGUGAAAGACGGUUUUGCUGUCACUUAUAGAUGGAUCCGCGCCGCAUUAGCUAGUUGGUAAGGUAACGGCUUACCAAGGCAACGAUGCGUAGCCGACCUGAGAGGGUGAUCGGCCACACUGGAACUGAGACACGGUCCAGACUCCUACGGGAGGCAGCAGUAGGGAAUCUUCCGCAAUGGGCGAAAGCUUGAUGGAGCAACGCCGCGUGAGUGAUGAAGGUCUUCGGAUCGUAAAACUCUGUUAUUAGGGAAGAACAAAUGUGUAAGUAACUAUGCACGUCUUGACGGUACCUAAUCAGAAAGCCACGGCUAACUACGUG
rnacentral:rRNA from 1 species